GACGAACGCUGGCGGCGUGCCUAAUACAUGCAAGUCGUGCGGACCUUUUAAAAGCUUGCUUUUAAAAGGUUAGCGGCGGACGGGUGAGUAACACGUGGUCAACCUGCCUGUAAGACUGGGAUAACGCCGGGAAACCGGGGCUAAUACCGGAUCGUUUUUCCUCCGCAUGGAGGAAAAAGUAAAGUCGGCUUCUGCUGCCACUUACAGAUGGGCCCGCGGCGCAUUAGCUAGUUGGCGGGGUAACGGCCCACCAAGGCAACGAUGCGUAGCCGACCUGAGAGGGUGCUAGGCAAAACUGGGACUGAGACACGGCCCAAACCCCUACGGGAGGCGGCAGUAGGGAACCUUCCGCAAUGGAAGAAAGUCUGACGGAGCAACGCCGCGCGAGUGCAGAAGGCAGUCGGGUCGUAAAACUCUGUUGCCGGGGAAGAACAAGUGCCGUUCGAACAGGGCGGCGCAUUGACGGUACCCGGACAGAAAGCCACGGCUAACUACGUG
rnacentral:rRNA from 1 species